rnacentral:misc_RNA from 1 species
AUAACUUCUUUUUUCUCUUAAAUUCUUGUCUCAGUUAUUCUAUCAACUGAAAAAUAAAAUAAAAAAAUUAGAGAAAAUUAACGAAAAUCGCGCAUCCAGUUGAAAUGUUAUCAGAAUCAGAACCACCGGCUGCAGCCGCCAGUUUACCAUCAGCAACCCCUCCGCCGCCGUCGUCCGAUGAGGACUUUUUCUCGUCUGUAUCAGUGGCAUCGACGUCUUCCACGUCAUCGCCUUCCACCCCGAUUCCUUCACCACCACAGCUUCAUCCAGAGAUCCCAAUUUCAUGGCCUGAAGACGGGACCUUAACCCUAGCUUGGGUUACCAACUUGAUGCUAGCAUUUGAUUGGUCAUCCAAGAAUCUUGCUCCGACGGAGCUGCCAUCGGUGUUGCCGGUAGUGGUGUUUGAUCGGCUGAUACUAACGGCUUCCAAGAUCUUGCAUAAAGAACCCAAUUGUGUGCAUAUUGAUAGCGGGUCGGGGUUGGGAAAUGAUUCGAGGGUUGUUGUGGUUGGGGACGUGCACGGCCAGCUACAUGAUGUCUUGUUCUUAUUGAGAGAUGCGGGUUUUCCCUCUGACGAUCGGUUCUUUGUGUUCAACGGAGACUAUGUCGAUAGAGGCGCUUGGGGUCUUGAGACCUUUCUUACCUUGUUGGCUUGGAAGGUUUUUAUGCCCAAUAGGGUGUUUCUCCUUCGUGGAAAUCACGAGUCGAAGUACUGUACUUCUGUUUAUGGUUUUGAAAAGGAGGUUCUAGCGAAGUAUGCGGAUAGUGGGAAACAUGUAUACAGGAAAUGUUUAGGAUGCUUCGAAGGACUUCCUCUUGCAUCCAUUAUUGGGGAUCAUGUCUACACAGCUCAUGGAGGUAUUUUCCGCAGUAUUGCUGUCACUCCAGCUAAAAGAGCUAAAGGGAAGAAGAACCGUAAAAUAGUUUCAAAUCCUGAUGUUACUACUUUAUCUCUUGGUUCUAUGGAGGAAUUAUUAAAAGCUAGGAGAUCUGUCCUUGAUCCUCCUUGGGAAGGUACGAAUCUGAUACCGGGUGAUGUCUUGUGGUCAGACCCGUCAAUGAAACCUGGACUUUCCCCAAAUAAAGAAAGAGGAAUUGGUCUCUUAUGGGGUCCGGAUUGCACCGAAGAUUUCUUGAAGAUGUUGAAUUUAAAGUUGAUUAUUAGGUCACAUGAAGGUCCAGAUGCAAGGGAAAAGAGAGAGGGAAUGAAAGGAAUGGAUCAAGGGUACACCAUAGAUCAUGAGGUCCAGUCCGGUAAAUUGAUUACAGUGUUUAGUGCCCCAGACUAUCCACAGUUUCAGGCAACUAAGGAUAGGUACCGAAAUAAAGGAGCAUAUAUUAUUUUGGAACCUCCUAAUUUUGACAUCCCCGUUUAUCGUAGUUUUGAAGCAGUGAUGCCCCGACCCAAGGUGAAUCCAUAUUAUGAUUUUGAAGAUUGCAUUGAUUCUGAUGAAGAAUUAGACUUGGCGUCUAUGGCUACAUGAAGGUAGUUCUCAUGAUCAGCGCGACAUUUGCAAAGCUUAAAAUAUUGUACAUGCUUCUAUAUUAUUUUUGAGGUGAUAUUAGUAAAAUUAUUCCUUCAAGAUUUCUUGACUGUUAGAGAGAUACGUAUCAUGGUUUUCUACUCAGAACAGUUGCUGAUGUACAACCUUUUUUUGUAUCAAAUUUAGACAGACUGUUUCUUGUACAA